AGCUAGUGUGGCAUAGUGGUUUGGAUGCUGGACUACAACUCUGGAGACCAAGGUUCGAUUCCAUGCUUGGCCA